UACGUAGGGGGCGAGCGUUGUCCGGAUUUAUUGGGCGUAAAGAGCGUGUAGGCGGCCAGGUAGGUCAGCUGUGAAAACUCGAGGCUCAACCUCGAGAUGUCGGCUGAAACCAUCUGGCUAGGGUCCGGAAGAGGAGAAUGGAAUUCCCGGUGUAGCGGUGAAAUGCGCAGAUAUCGGGAAGAACACCCGUGGCGAAGGCGGUUCUCUGGGACGGUACUGACGCUGAGACGCGAAAGCGUGGGGAGCGAACAGG
rnacentral:rRNA from 1 species